AAAACAUACAUGGCAUGACUAUAAAGUAAUGAGACAAGUUUUUCACAUCUGGCUGUGUUACUGAGUCUCAUUAGUGUAUAGUCAAAUCCCGUCUCAAG
rnacentral:pre_miRNA from 1 species